rnacentral:rRNA from 1 species
UACGUAGGGUGCAAGCGUUAAUCGGAAUUACUGGGCGUAAAGCGUGCGCAGGCGGUGAUGUAAGACAGUUGUGAAAUCCCCGGGCUCAACCUGGGAACUGCAUCUGUGACUGCAUCGCUGGGGUGUGGCAGAGGGGGGUGGAAUUCCGCGUGUAGCAGUGAAAUGCGUAGAGAUGCGGAGGAACACCGAUGGCGAAGGCAGCCCCCUGGGCUAACACUGACGCUCAGGCACGAAAGCGUGGGGAGCAAACAGG